GAUGAAGAACGUAGGCAAAUGCGAUAAGUAAUGUGAAUUGCAGAAUUCAGUGAAUCAUCGAAUCUUUGAACGCACAUUGCGCCCGCCAGUAUUCUGGCGGGCAUGCCUGUUCGAGCGUCAUUUCAACCCUCAAGCACAGCUUGGUGUUGGGACUCGCGUUAAUUCGCGUUCCCCAAAUUGAUUGGCGGUCACGUCGAGCUUCCAUAGCGUAGUAGUAAAACCCUCGUUACUGGUAAUCGUCGCGGCCACGCCGUUAAACCCCAACUUCUGAAUGUUGACCUCGGAUCAGGUAGGAAUACCCGCUGAACUUAAGCAUAUCAAUAAGCGGAGGA
rnacentral:misc_RNA from 1 species